rnacentral:rRNA from 1 species
GAUGAACGCUGGCGGCGUGCCUAACACAUGCAAGUCGAGCGAACAGACGAGGAGUUUGCUCCUCUCACGUUUGCCGCGCACGGGUGUGAAACACGUGGAUAACCUCCCUAUCUGACUGGGAUAACCUCGGGACUCCGGAGCUAAUACCGGAUAAUCUACUGCACCGCAUGGUUCAAUAGUGAAAGUCGGUUUUGCUGUCUCUUAUAGAUGGAUCCGCGCCGCAUUAGCUAGUUGGUAAGGUAACGGCCUAUCAAGGCAACUAUGCGUAGCCGACGUGACAGGGUGAUCGGCCGCACGGGAAGUGGGACACGGUCCAGGGUCCUACGGGAGGGAGCAGAAGGGAACCUGCCGCAAUGGGGGGGAGCCUGACGGAGCAAGGCGGCGUGAGUGAUGGAGGUCUUGGGAUCGUAAAACUCUGUUAUUAGUGAAGAACAAAUGUGGAAGUAACUGUGGACGUCUUGACGGUACCUAAUCAGAAAGCCACGGCUAACUACGUG